UUAAAAUAUGGACCUAUAAUGCAAAGGUAUUACAUGCAGUACCCUUCUGGGUUUGAUUCUGUUGUCCUCAAUGAACUCAUGCAGAACCUUUCUGUUUGCUGGGAAGAUGACUCAAUCAUCAUGUCCUCUAUUGUUAACACUAUGACCUUUGUAAGUGUAAAAUAAGUUAAAGAUGGGGGAGUAUUUGAUUUCAGAGAAAUGAGAUUAGAUUGGUUUAGGUUACAGACUUAUACUAGUGUCUCUAAGACUUCACUUGGCCUUUCAGAUCACAGAGAACUUGGAAACAUGAUGAAUACAAUAAUUUUUUCAUACCAAAAAUAGAUUAUUUGGUGGAAAUGUUGCUUAAAACAUCAAAGCUCUACAUAUUUUGUUUUUAUAGUCAUGCUCUUGAGAAGUUGCUUUAAUAGUGUUUGGAGUUACUUUCUCAGUCAAGAUACUGAACUGCAUUUUCACUACAUUGCACUCAUUUUAUCAGUUGCAUUCAUGAACUGUGUGCAGCAGAGUUACAUCAUAUUGGAGAAUGUAGUCUUCCCUUAUGUAAUAUAUUUCUAGAUGAAAAGGCAAAACAAGCUUGAAAUAUCAUCACAGAUAUUUGCACAGAACAGUGUACUCUUAGUGACCAGUUGCCGCCCAAGUAUUAUGCCAAAACCACCAGUCAAGCAGUGAAUAAGAAAUCAACAAAACAAAACAAAAUAGACUAGUAAGAAAGGGUAACCUGAAAGGGAGAAACCAGGCAUUAAGAACAUGAAGAAAAACAGGCUGGUUGUGACCAAACUUGACAAAUUGCACACUGCACUUUCUAAAUUGUGUCUCAAACACGAUGGUAUGGAAACAUACCUUUACUCCAUGAGAAUAUUUGACUUCCCAUCUGGAAAUCCUCUUUACUAAGUCAAUUGUUGGGAUGAUUAUGUAUAAUUGAGCCACACACAAAAUGCAAAACCAUCAGAGAUUCUAACAGGUGUAAGAGCACACAUGACCAUACUCCAGCCAAUAUAAAACUACAUGUAGAUUGAUAUUAUAAGAGUAUUCAAUGAUGUUCUUCUUCAACAAACACAACAUUUGGGCAGCUAUGGAGAGCCAAUCAUUACGAGUCUUUACACAAAUUGGUAUUUGGAAACUUUGUUAAGAUAAGUCAGCUAUGCUCAUAUAGCUUAUUUCCCUGCAAUUAAAGCAUUUGUGACACUACCUACAGAAAAUGAAUUAACAUUCAAUGCAGAGAAAUAUUCUGACAUAUCUGAAAUGAGGUCAUUAUUAGAACUGCUAGGCCCAUAUGGUAUGAAGUUCUUAAGUGAAAGCCUUAUGUGGCAUAUUUCAUCACAAGUUGCUAAACUUAAGAAAUUUGUGGAGAAUGUUGAUGUGUUAACACAAAUGUGGACCAGCUUUGACAAACCAGACCACAUGGCUGCACUCUUUAAAAGAUUAUCAUCUGUUGACCGUCUUUAUUUUG
rnacentral:lncRNA from 10 species